GGAGACGUCACCGAAGUAGCAGCUGCGCACGAUCUGCGGAUGUCCGACCACUGGAAUGGGAGCAAAAUGUUGAAUGUUGAUUACGGAUGAUAGACUGUCGACUGUACCUAAUUGUACUAAAGCAACCCCACUGAGCCCUCUGACGAGUCAAGACAAAACACUCUCAAGGCAUCGCAUUAAGUUAAGUAAAUUCCGAAAUUUUCCAGCUGACUGAUUAAGCGGUUUUCUCAUCGUUCCAAUCAAUUAAAUUUUGCUACGAAUUUUCCAAUUGGUUCGCCACAUGCAGUUCAUUUCUCUCAGCUAAGAGUUCUAUUCAUAAGUUGGUCAAACUGAAAUAUGAGCAUAGGAUGAUCACAAUAUUUACCACUGAAUAAUCUUUUGAUUCGUUUGCCUUGCAAAUAUAUUCAAAAAUGCAAAUUGAAAUUCACAGACAGAGAAUCUUGCGGCAUUCAUUCAUAGCACAAUCACGUCAUUAUUAUUAUUAUUUCCAUACAAAACCAAAUUAAGCUUCAACUUCAACGUAAUUACACGUAACAAACAGAGACCGAGAAACGUGAGAGACAAAUACACCUAAAGAAAGAGCAUGAAAGCAACAACAGAAAUACCCGUAUUUACGCAUGACAUCAGAAACUGAAAACCUGAACCGAUUUCCUCUGAUGAUCUCAACAUAUUUGGGUGAACUUUUAAGGGUUUCGGCUUAAGGGCUAAGUUUGGGGAUGGUUUGACUUACCGCUUUCGAGGGUCUUCUUCAUGCAUCCGGUGGCGUUGCGGAGGGGGAAGAAGUUCUGCAGGUAGCGCGGGGGUCCGAUCCGGGCACAGUCGAUAAGGAGACUCUCAUCUGCUUCGAACUUCAGGCCGCACUUGGGCAUGGU